GACGUAGGGCGCGAGCGUUGUUCGGAAUUACUGGGCGUAAAGGGCUCGUAGGUGGCCAACUAAGUCAGACGUGAAAUCCCUCGGCUUAACCGGGGAACUGCGUCUGAUACUGGAUGGCUUGAGUUUGGGAGAGGGACGCGGAAUUCCAGGUGUAGCGGUGAAAUGCGUAGAUAUCUGGAGGAACACCGGUGGCGAAGGCGGCGUCCUGGACCAACACUGACACUGAGGAGCGAAAGCUAGGGGAGCAAACGGG
rnacentral:rRNA from 1 species